UACGGGGGGGGCAAGCGUUGUUCGGAAUUACUGGGCGUAAAGGGCUCGUAGGCGGCCAACUAAGUCAGACGUGAAAUCCCUCGGCUUAACCGGGGAACUGCGUCUGAUACUGGAUGGCUUGAGUUUGGGAGAGGGAUGCGGAAUUCCAGGUGUAGCGGUGAAAUGCGUAGAUAUCAAGAGGAACACCUGCGGCGAAGGCGGGUUGCUGGGCCGACACUGACGCUGAGGAGCGAAAGCGUGGGGAGCGAACAGG
rnacentral:rRNA from 1 species